CUGGGGCGGUCGCCUCCUAAAGAGUAACGGAGGCUCCCAAAGGUACCCUCAGCACGGUUGGCAAUCGUGCGUAGAGUGUAAAAGCAUAAGGGUGCUUGACUGCGAGACAUACAGGUCGAGCAGGCACGAAAGUGGGGUUUAGUGAUCCGGUGGCACCGUAUGGAAGGGCCAUCGCUCAAAGGAUAAAAGGUACUCCGGGGAUAACAGGCUGAUGAUGCCCAAGAGUCCAUAUCGACGGCAUCGUUUGGCACCUCGAUGUCGGCUCAUCACAUCCUGGGGCUGAAGCCGGUCCCAAGGGUAUGGCUGUUCGCCAUUUAAAGUGGUACGCGAGCUGGGUUUAGAACGUCGUGAGACAGUUCGGUCCCUAUCUGGUGUGGGCGU
rnacentral:rRNA from 18 species